rnacentral:rRNA from 1 species
AGCGAACGCUGGCGGCAUGCUUAUCACAUGCAAGUCGCACGGAUCUUUCGGGAUCAGUGGCGGACGGGUGAGAAACGCGUAGGGAUCUAUCCAUGGGUGGGGGACAACUCCGGGAAACAGGAGCUAAUACCGCAUGAUACCUGAGGGUCAAAGGCGCAAGUCGCCUGUGGAGGAACCUGCGUUCGAUUAGCUAGUUGGUGGGGUAACGGCUUACCAAGGCGAUGAUCGAUAGCUGGUUUGAGAGGAUGAUCAGCCACACUGGGACUGAGACACGGCCCAGACUCCUACGGGAGGCAGCAGUGGGGAAUAUUGGACAAUGGGCGAAAGCCUGAUCCAGCAAUGCCGCGUGUGUGAAGAAGGUCUUAGGAUUGUAAAGCACUUUCGACGGGGACGAUGAUGACGGUACCCGAAGAAUAAGCCCCGGCUAACUUCGUG